rnacentral:rRNA from 1 species
GAUGAACGCUGGCGGCGUGCCUAAUACAUGCAAGUCGAGCGAAUGGAUUAAGAGCUUGCUCUCAUGAAGUUAGCGGCGGACGGGUGAGUAACACGUGGGUAACCUGCCCAUAAGACUGGGAUAACUCCGGGAAACCGGGGCUAAUACCGGAUAACAUUUUGAACCGCAUGGUUCGAAAUUGAAAGGCGGCUUCGGCUGUCACUUAUGGAUGGACCCGCGUCGCAUUAGCUAGUUGGUGAGGUAACGGCUCACCAAGGCAACGAUGCGUAGCCGGCCUGAGAGGGUGAUCGGCCACACGGGGACUGGGACACGGCCCAGACUCCUACGGGAGGCAGCAGUAGGGAAUCUUCCGCAAUGGACGAAAGUCUGACGGAGCAACGCCGCGUGAGUGAUGAAGGCUUUCGGGUCGUAAAACUCUGUUGUUAGGGAAGAACAAGUGUUAGUUGAAUAAGCUGGCACCUUGACGGUACCUAACCAGAAAGCCACGGCUAACUACGUGCCAGCAGCCGCAGUAA